rnacentral:rRNA from 1 species
AGAGCUUGCUCUCGGGUGACGAGCGGCGGACGGGUGAGUAAUGUCUGGGAAACUGCCUGAUGGAGGGGGAUAACUACUGGAAACGGUAGCUAAUACCGCAUAACGUCGCAAGACCAAAGUGGGGGACCUUCGGGCCUCAUGCCAUCAGAUGUGCCCAGAUGGGAUUAGCUAGUAGGUGGGGUAAUGGCUCACCUAGGCGACGAUCCCUAGCUGGUCUGAGAGGAUGACCAGCCACACUGGAACUGAGACACGGUCCAGACUCCUACGGGAGGCAGCAGUGGGGAAUAUUGCACAAUGGGCGCAAGCCUGAUGCAGCCAUGCCGCGUGUAUGAAGAAGGCCUUCGGGUUGUAAAGUACUUUCAGCGAGGAGGAAGGCGUUAAGGUUAAUAACCUUGGCGAUUGACGUUACUCGCAGAAGAAGCACCGGCUAACUCCGUGCCAGCAGCCGCGGUAAUACGGAGGGUGCAAGCGUUAAUCGGAAUUACUGGGCGUAAAGCGCACG